CCCUCGCCGCCUGUCACCUUCCCCGUCCGGCAUCUGGAGCCUCGAGCCUGCUUGGAAGGGGUGGCGUGUAUCUCUGCGUGUCGACCGUAGGCGGGGAUGCGAUCCCCUUUUGCAACCUGACCUUCCCUUGGAUUACAGCCAGAGAGCUUUUCACGCCGCUCCUCCUUGCUAUGGGUUUGCCUGCAUGUUAAGGAAGGAGGAACCUUUGCGUGUGCUGCUGCUUUUUCUUCUCUGAUCUGCCCCUCCCCUCAGCUGCUUCCAGGGCUUGGCUGUAUAUUUAUUUAUUGAUUGAUUGAUUGGAUCGCCGCCUUCUCUUUCUUUUUUUAAUCGUCCUCUCCAACACAGAACGUCUCUUUGAAGGCUACUUGGGUGCAGGUGACACACCCUCCUCCUCCUCCUCUCUCCCCCCCCACCCGCACCCCCGUCGCUUCAUUCACUCCUCUUGUUAGUACAAGGGCAAUAGCUGUAGAUUAUUGGAUCUGCUAGGUUCUCUGAAGCUGCUGCCGCUUGAUCGCCGGUGGCGGAAGGCAAAUGCCGGGGAAGGCAGCGAAGAAGAGAAGCUGUGUUGUCUUUGCAGCAAAGUGAAAAACGGAGAAGGCUGCAAAGCUGAGCAGACCAAGCCGAGGGAGAGACUUUCUGCUCCUCCUAAAAGAAAAGAUAAGAGGAGGGGAGGGUGGGAAAAAAAAAUAUCGUUGGGAUCUUGGUAGAUCUUCCCGAAGAUGUCAUCUCAAGCAAAGUUCAAGAAAGACAAAGAGAUCAUAGCAGAAUAUGAAACUCAAGUAAAAGAAAUUCGUACCCAGUUGGUGGAACAGUUCAAAUGCCUAGAACAGCAGUCUGAAUCCCGGUUGCAGCUCCUGCAAGACCUCCAGGAGUUCUUCCGCAGAAAGGCUGAGAUUGAACUGGAGUAUUCUAGGAACUUAGAAAAACUUGCGGAAAGAUUUUCUUCCAAGAUUCGCAGCUCCAGGGAACACCAUCAGUUCAAGAAGGAUCAGCACCUUCUUUCUCCUGUGAACUGCUGGUAUCUGGUACUGACCCAGACUCGGAGAGAAAGCAAAGACCAUGCUACCCUGAACGACAUCUUCAUGAACAAUGUCAUUGUUAGACUCUCCCAGAUCAGUGAGGAUGUCAUCCGGCUAUUUAAAAAGAGUAAGGAAAUCGGACUUCAGAUGCAUGAAGAACUCCUGAAGGUGACCAACGAACUCUACACUGUGAUGAAAACAUACCAUAUGUACCACGCUGAAAGCAUCAGUGCCGAAAGCAAACUGAAGGAUGCCGAGAAGCAAGAAGAGAAACAGUUCAACAAAGCAGGGGACAUCAGCGUGAACCUGUUGCGGCAUGAAGACAGGCCCCAGCGCCGCAGCUCUGUCAAGAAGAUUGAGAAGAUGAAGGAAAAGAGGCAAGCAAAAUACUCAGAAAAUAAGCUGAAGUGCACUAAAGCUAGGAACGAUUAUCUGCUGAACCUGGCAGCAACAAAUGCAGCAGUCAGUAAAUACUACAUCCAUGAUGCCUCAGACCUGAUUGAUUGCUGUGACUUGGGAUUCCAUGCCAGCCUGGCACGGACGUUCAGAACAUAUCUUUCUGCUGAAUACAAUCUAGAAACCUCACGUCAUGAGGGCCUGGACAUCAUUGAGAAUGCUGUAGACAACUUGGAUGCACGGAGUGACAAGCAUACAGUCAUGGAUAUGUGCAACCAAGUCUUCUGUCCUCCACUAAAGUUUGAAUACCAGCCUCAUAUGGGGGAUGAGGUAUGUCAAGUGAGCGCCCAGCAGCCAGUUCAGACAGAGUUGCUCAUGCGAUAUCACCAGCUGCAGUCUAGACUUGCCACACUCAAAAUAGAAAACGAAGAGGUGCGAAAAACAUUGGAUGCUACUAUGCAGACAUUGCAAGACAUGCUGACAGUGGAAGAUUUUGAUGUCUCAGAUGCCUUCCAGCAUAGUCGCUCCACUGAGUCGGUCAAAUCAGCUGCUUCAGAGACUUACAUGAGUAAACUAAACAUUGCCAAGAGGAGAGCCAACCAACAAGAAACUGAAAUGUUCUAUUUUACUAAAUUUAAAGAGUAUUUGAAUGGCAGCAACCUUAUUACCAAGCUGCAGGCUAAACAUGACUUACUGAAGCAGACUCUGGGAGAAGGUAAGUUCAACUUAGCCCAAACAAAAAUAUUGCAUUUCAAAUCACAACAGGAUUUAGAAUUGGAUCUUAGACUUCUUAAAUCUCACUUGCUAUUGUUUUCUUUCUUAUGUCAACAUUUGUGAUUAGUGAUUCUGUCCUGCUUAAUAGAAGAGGGGCAGAAAAUCUUUGGUCCUUUCACUUUUAAUUUUGGCUGAGAGUGGCGUUUGAAUGCCCCAUUGCGUUGAUUUGUUUCCUCAGGGCGUAAGGCAGGCAUCUCAGCAUUAGGGAUGAACCCCAUUAUCCCUGCUUUGCCUGCUCUUUGUUUAGUGAAAAAGAAAAAUGAAAACACCAAACCCCAUGGACGCGUUCCUUUGUAGCUGUGUUCUUGUUAACAAUUAUCCAUUUCAUUUGGCAAAUAAAUGAUUUGUUUUUGUUUUUUGAAACCCAAAAAGGCCAAAGUAGUGAAAUGAUAGCAUUGGUGCUUAGAGCCAUAAUCUGGAACAAAGUUUUCCAAAAUAUUCUCCAGCAUCAUAACUGAAUGGCAAUAAAAAAUUAGAUGGUCGUUUCAAUGUUUUGCAUACUCUAUAUGUGUAAUAAAAGGUAAAGGUAAAGGUACCCCUGACCAUUAGGUCCAGUCGUGGACGACUCUAGGGUUGCGCGCUCAUAUUGCUCUAUAGGCUGAGGGAGCCGGCCUUUGUCUGCAGACAGCUUCCGGGUCAUGUGGCCAGCAUGACUAAGCCGCUUCUCGUGAACCAGAGCAGCGCAUGGAAACGCCGUUUACCUUCCCGCCGGAGCGGUACCUAUUUAUCUACUUGCAGUGCAUGCUUUCAAACUGCUAGGUGGGCAGGAGCUGGGACCGAACAACGGGAGCUCACCCCGUCACGGGGAUUCGAACUGCCGAUCUUCCGAUCAGCAAGCCCUAGGCUCUGUGGUUUAGACCACAGCGCCACCCGUGUCCCAACAUAUGUGCAAUGGACAGGGUGAUUUGUGGCAUUCUUGUUUUGAUAGCUGUCAUGUUGAACUGUGGAAUUAAAAGGCAUUGUGUUUUUCACAGCUGAGGAUUUUAUAUCUAGGGGGAAUUCUUGUAACUUAACUUGAGUCAAAAUGUGCCGGGUCCUCUCUACCAGAAUAGUUUUUUUGCUACUAGUGAUUUGAAGCAUCUUGCCUCAAAUCAUUUGGCCUCAGUUGGCUGCUUGUGUGGAGGUCCUGCAGGCAAGGGAGGAACAUAGGCUAUCAGUACAGCUGUGCAUGGUUUCAUGUGUUGAGAGGCAUUCAUCUUUUUACCUGACAGCAGAGUUUGGGAAAUAAUUGGCCUGUUUCAAGGCAUGUGUAAGUAGGCCAGACUUUCCCACCUAUCAACAUAGUGGAGCUGGUGGUUUGGGCCUGCCUGUGGAUCACUUUGCUGCCCUUCCCUCUCUCCUCUGGUGAUAAUUAUUGUCCUUGGUGACAGAAGGAAUGCCUAAUGAAUGUUUUAAUCAACUUUUAAAGGGAUGCUGUAGGCUACAAUUUAUUCUCCUUCUGGUUUGCUAUUGAGAUUGUCCACUUGGGAAUAGGUCUGCCAUAAUCUGGCCUGAGCCAGUUGCUUUCAGCUCUUCGGGACUGAGCUUUUAAGUUUGUCAACCUUUGAAGGCCUGUGGGAAGUUCCAUUUGCAAACCAAAGAAACUGACAUGAGCGACACAUGGUUUCAGAAGAAUGCUGCUUUCAGACCUGCUAGGGAAGGUCAAUGGGGGACCACAGAAACUGCAUUAGCAGCCCAUGCUUUAACUCCUGUCCUCACCCAAAUGUUGAUGAAGAGGACUCUUAGUAACCCACAAAAGCUUACCCCCUUAUAAAUUUGUAAGCUGCUGCAUGACCCUUUGUUUUUAUUAAUGGUUAGUACAAGAAAAUACAGCUGUCAUUUCCUACCACUGGAUCUGUGAGGCUGAUAUUUUACCCCUUUUGUAUGCUGUCCCCUCAACAAUGCCAUCUCCUCAAAAAGUCUCUGCUUUGCACAAGUGUGACCUUAAAAAUACUUCAAGAAGAGUGGUUGCCUUAACUCAAGUAGGUACCUAAGGUUGAAUGAAAGAUUUAUGUCCUAUCCUGAAUAUAAAUUGGAACCUGAGCUGAACUGGAGCCCAUGAGACUUUUUAAAAAGUUGUGCUUGGUGAACAAGGGACUAUUUCUCAUUUUAGAGAUGCCCAGUUUGCAGAAGCUUCUGGUGAUUUAUUGCUAUAUUUUGCUGUCAUACACUAGGAGUGAAUAUACUUCUUAAAGUUUGGCAUCCAUUGCCUCUGAUCUACUUUUAAUACUGCAGCCCUUGUAACACAGAUAUAAACAUAUAAAAGUUUAAUUGGAUUUUGCUGGCUUUAAUCCCAUAGAUAGUUGCCUCUCCCAAGUUAAUAUGAUUUUAAGACCUGACUCAUCAUAAGAGACAGCAUUUGAUACACAGUUCUUUAAACUGUGUUUUUUUAAAAAAAUUGUGUCAAUACUUUCUCUUCUGUCUUAGAAAUUUCUCUCUGCCACAGAGCUGGUAAACCUACAAGCGUAUGCAGCCUUAUUAGAACAAUGGCUGCUUCUUUAUAUCCCCUUCUGUGGAUUGGUCUGUGUUUCAUAUUAAAAUUGGAGUAGGUCUCAUUAGGCAUAAUCAAUCACUGCCCACUGCCAGGCUUAUCUGAGAGCAGCUGAUUCCACAUUCAAGUGUUUAACAUAUGAAACAGGGCGGAGCUAGCAGUUAGUUGAAGCCUGACCCAUAUGGACUCUCCCCUUAGUUCAGACAACAAGCCUCUAAGAUUUUGACAGUGCUAAGACAACACUAUCAAUCAACACAUGAUGUGAUUGGAUGUUUUAUUAGUCAGCUUUCUAGUUAGCAAAAAUUAUUCAGCAGCUCUCAAGAGCUAAGGCUCCAGGCAUUCUUAUUUAUUUACCAAGAGCUGCAUCAUUAGUAUGAUGGUCAGCUGCCUCUGCUAACCAGGAUGCUGGACCAGUUUUUCAUGACUCACACCUUUAUUUAUAUACACACACAAACUCACUUCCGGGGCCAGCUUGUGGCUUUUCCAGGCCCCUCGCUGUCCUUUCCCUGAGCCUAUGCUGUCACCUCCAGUUUUAACCUUAGCUCCACUUUUCUCUUUUAUGAAGAUCCUUCAUCUGACUUUGAUUUAGCCCAGCUCCUUUAACUCUCAUGCCGUUACUCUCUUGACCAAUUUACGAGCACAGUCUUGGAUAUUCCAUUUGGGCCAGAUAACAAAUGAUACCCCCUUUCCAGGUGAAGCUGUAGUUAGGCUUUAGGACUGCACUUUUAUGCACUUUAGCUUAUUUGUUAAUUAGUUAAUCAGAAAUUACAAUAUUCUUACAUUGUUUCAUCCAGUAAUUGCGUCACAUCUUUUUGAAUUCCCUUUAUCUGCUUUCACUCACUAUCUCACCUGGAAGUUUAAAUUCAGUAGCCAUGAGUCAUAUAGGAUAAAAGGCAGAGUAGUUGAUUAUUUUUGGCACAGUCACCACAAGCAUCCCUUUCAGGUGCCUUACAGAAAGAUCUUUCAACAAUCUUGAAGCCUGCAUGCAACUUCACAUGGAAAAAUGUUUCAUUGCCUGAUCCUUUAUUCUGAAAUUUUUUUCCACUGUUUUAUAGAUUUCUUUGCUCCUUCAAUUUAAACAUAAACAAUUAUUUAUUACAUUUAUUUUCCUCCAAGGAGCUCAAGGUGGCAUACAUGAUUCUCCCCCUCCUAAUUUAAUUCCCACAUCAACUGUAUGAGGUAGGCUAGGUGAGGGGCAGUGUUGACCCAAGGUCACAUCCGGUGAGCUUCACGGCCAAGUAGGGAUUUGAACCCUGGUCUCCCAGGUCCUAGUCCAACACUUUACAUGCUAAAAAAGAUAUUUAAAAAAGUAGAGGCAGCAUCUGAAAAGAAUAAAUACAACAGGAGAGCCAAUCUGAAGUGACACUGAAGGUUUAUUAUUUAUUUUUAAGAGGAAUAAAUAGUCCGUCACAUUUCGAACAACAUGUUCUUCAGGAGCAAUGGAGUCAACUAUUACCUUGUGCUUAGGAUGCCAGGUUAGCUAGGGCAUUUAGAGAAGGAACAUCAGGCUGGAUGAGCCAGUGGUCCAAAGGCAACUUCAUCUGUUCUUUCAUGGGGAUCUCUUUUCUUAUUUUCACUGUUAUCUACAAUCACCUCUUGAUAAUGCAUGUUGCCAGUGGAAGUGUACACAGAGAACAUGCAAGUCUUUUAAGGUUGACCCUUAGGGCACAUAGAAAAAAAUUCCUAAAGACCAACUAAGUUUUUGGUAUGAGCUUUCGUGUGCAUGCACACUUCUUCAGAUACCUUAGGGCACAUGAUUGCAAAACCAGAAAUGAGCUGCAUCCAAAAAUGUUUCUUUUAUAUAUUGAUUAAGAGAGAGAGGGAGAAUGCAACUUUUUUUUAAGGCAGUUUUGGUCCUGAAACAAAAACAAACGAAAUUCCACAAAGAAAAUGAGGAAUCUGUUUACUGAGUUAUGAAUGGAAUGACAUACACUUUAACAGUAUGUAGUGGCAUGCCACCUUCUAUCAAACCCAAAUGUUGUAAAUACUUUGAAGGGGCAAAGACAGCAAACAUGGGAGUCUGUCUGGUUAAAGUCAAAUGGGCAGUUAUCUCGUAGGAAAAAGCUGAUCUGCUAAAUACUGCACUGUGUUCUCAUGCUGUUAGCAUAUCCUCAGUGAGGUGAUGGGAUAAUCUUCUGCAUGAUUCCCAAGGAUAGUAGUCCAUAUCAGUACUCGUCCCUAUCUCCCUUCCCCCACCCCCUAUCCCCCGCUCUUUUAACUGCUAAAAAUAAGAGCUAUUGAGGCACAGAUCUUUUAUCUGGUGCAGAUUGACUAAACUUCAUUGACAGUAGAGCUGUUCGAUUUAUGCUAGCUGCCUGGAUCUUUUAAUAAUUUAUUUAAGCUCUUAACAAACGUCAUCCCUGAAGGCUCAAGGCAGAAAACGGCUCUAUAAGAGAGCUGAAGAUAAUACUAAUCAAAAUGCUAAAGACGGAGAUGCAGCUAAAAUAUUUGCCCUCCUCGCCAACUGUAUCCCCAGCUGGCCCCUUAACUCUAGCUAGCUAGAGUUAUUGUAUGGCUUAAGAAGACAGUAGGUCUUCAACAGUUGGAUAGCACAGUUGGUAGAGUACGAGACUCUUAACCUCAGGGUUAUGGGUUCGAGUCCCACAUUGGGCACAAUAUUUGUGCAUUGCAGGGGGUUGAACUAGAUGACCCUUGUGGUCCAUUCAAACUCUACAAUUCUGUGAUUCUAUGCAGCCACAAAGAUGUUCCUCCCUGCGUCUGAAUCUCACUAUUGGAAAGAUGCAAGGAGCAAUGCUGAGGCUGACGUCCGAGAUUAGGAUUCAAGAAAGAAACAAGCUCCGAAAGCCUCUGAGUAUCAUCCUGAGAUGAUUGAUUGGAGUAGGGAAGUAUAGAGAUGCUCUCAAGUCAACAUGGUUCUUGACUUGUAAGAUGGCUUUCGGCAGUCAAGGGAUUGUAUCGAACACUAUUCCCUGCUCAAUAGUAGAUUUGGAAUUAAUGGAGAGGACCAAUUUAAGUUUAUUAAGUAAGUCAACUCUGAGUAGAACUUAGUUGGAUACACUCCCAAAUUUGUAAAUUAAUAGUAAACUGAGGUUUUAUGAGUAAAAUGUAAUGUCUUCAGACCCUUGUGAUUUCUCACUUGCCAUAUAUGAGCAGUUAACUUGUAGCUUAACGUUAGAACAGUUUCCCCCCGCCCCCAAUUUUUGAAGAAAAAAAUAAACCAAAUAGCUGUGACCUUUUAUAUUAUGUAAACAAGGAUGGAAUUAACAUGUGAUUUCUUCCC